rnacentral:rRNA from 1 species
UCGAGAAUUUUUCUCAAUGGGGGAAACCCUGAAGGAGCGACGCCGCGUGGAGGAUGAAGGUCUUCGGGUUGUAAACUCCUGUCAUUUGGGAACAAGUUGGACGCCGUAACUGCGCGUCCAUUGAUAGUACCAGAAGAGGAAGAGACGGCUAACUCUGUGCCAGCAGCCGCGGUAAUACAGAGGUCUCAAGCGUUGUUCGGAUUCAUUGGGCGUAAAGGGUGUGUAGGUGGCGCGCUAAGUCGGGUGUGAAAUUUCGGAGCUUAACUCCGAAACUGCAUUCGAUACUGGCGUGCUUGAGGACUGGAGAGGAGACUGGAAUUCAUGGUGUAGCAGUGAAAUGCGUAGAGAUCAUGAGGAAGACCAGUGGCGAAGGCGGGUCUCUGGACAGUUCCUGACACUGAGACACGAAGGCCAGGGGAGCAAACG